rnacentral:rRNA from 1 species
AUUGAACGCUGGCGGCAGGCCUAACACAUGCAAGUCGAACGGCGUGGCGGACGGGUGAGUAAUGUCCGGGAAACUGCCUGAUGGAGGGGGAUAACUACGGGAAACGGUAGCUAAUACCGCACACCCUCGGCUGUGCCCCGAUGGGAUUAGCUAGUUGGUGGGGUAAAGGCCUACCAAGGCGACGCUCCGUAACUGGUCUGAGAGGAUGAUCAGUCACACUGGAACUGAGACACGGUCCAGACUCCGACGGGAGGCAGCAGUGGGGAAUAUUGGACAAUGGGCGAAAGCCUGAUCCAGCCAUGCCGCGUGUGUGAAGAAGGUCUUCGGAUUGUAAAGCACUUUAAGUUGGGAGGCGUUACCAACAGAAUAAGCACCGGCUAACUUCGUGCCAGCAGCCGCGGUAAUAC